rnacentral:lncRNA from 1 species
GCCCAAGUCAGGAUGACAAUGCAUAAGUCUCAGUCAAAAUGUAGUGGAAAUAUCAAUUGGGAUGGACCAAGUCACAAUCCCCAGUAGCAAUGAACCCCACGUUCAUCACGCAGCGUGUGUCUCAUCUUAGUAUAGCACUAUGUUGUGCAAAAUCCGGAGUUUCAAACCCUCAGGACAUCAUUUAAAAUCAUUACUCACCUCAAACUGGCCAAAGCUCUAGCUCGCUAUGCCCUUGCCUCUCAAAUUGGCCUCCUCGCGCGUCGAAUCUGAUCAAAAUCACAACGAACAUGUCACAUUAUGCUAAAGAAACAAUACCCAAUCGAAAACAAUCAAAAAAUAUCAAAAUUCUCAAAAUUGGCAAAACCCGAGUCCCGGGCCCACUUCUCGAAAUUCAGAAAUUUUUACAUCAACGGGUUCCUUAUCUCCCCACGAGUUCAUACAUACCAAAAGUUCUCAAAUCCGACCCCAAAUGGUCCUCCAAAUCCCCAAUCAAAAUUUCAAAAUCCCAAGCCCUAUUUCUUCCAUUUUUUGCAAGAAUUCAAUGAUUUUCUAGGUGGAUUUCACAAUAUAAAUGAGUUUUAGGUCCGAAAUUCUUACCUCCAAACGUUUCUCCUUGAAUCCCUCUUCAAUCUCCUUCAAAAGCUCUCAAAAUGGUCAACUAUGGCUGAAAAAUGGACCCAAAUCGCGGACAAGAGGA